rnacentral:antisense_RNA from 1 species
CAAGGGGAAGGUAUAUAUUUAAAAUUCCUCCCCUUCAUUUUCUUCUUCAAACGAAUCAGUCCCCACUUCUUCAUAAUCCUUCUCCAGGGCAGCUAAGUCUUCCCUGGCCUCAGAAAAUUCUCCUUCCUCCAUCCCCUCUCCCACAUACCAAUGCACAAAGGCCCGCUUGGCGUACAUGAGGUCGAACUUGUGGUCGAGGCGGGCCCAGGCCUCCGCGAUGGCCGUGGUGUUGCUGAGCAUGCAGACGGCCCGCUGCACCUUGGCCAGGUCUCCCCCGGGGACCACGGUCGGGGGCUGGUAGUUGAUGCCCACCUGAGGGACACAGAAAGAGGAGGAGCCACAGAAGAAGAUACAAGUCAGCCAGAGGAUAACUCAGGAUGGGACAUCUUGGUCACUUGGCAUGGCUUCAAGUCAUGGUCCACGCCCUGGUGCCUCACACUUGUAACUCCCGCCAAGAAAACUGAGGCAUGCUCAUCUCUUCACCUCCAGCAACUGAGACAAACCCUGACACACAAUAGGUACCAGUAAAACCUCUGAAUGAUUGAAAGCAUGACUAGGGGCCAGGCUUGGUGGCUCACGCCUGUAAUCCCAAUGCUUUGAGAGGCUGAGGCAGGUGGAUCACCUGAGGUCAGGAGUUCGAGAGCAGCCUGGCCAACAUGGCAAAACCCCAUCUCUACUAAAAAUACAAAAAUUAGCCAGGCGUGGUGGUGCAUGCCUGUAAUCCCAGCUACCUGGGAGGCUAAGGCAGGAGAAUCACUUGAACCUGGGAGGCAAAGUUUGCAGUGAGCCAAGAUUGCACCACUGCACUCCAGCCCGGGCAACAGAGCAAGACUCCAUCUCAGGGGAAAAAUACAAUAAAAAAUAAAAAAAGAAAUCCUGACUACAGGGCAGUAGUUAAUGUGAAUGUGGUAGCUGUUAUGAUGGCAGAAUCUGACAAAAGACCGUGGGCGGAGUGGCUGAGCUGUUCAUGUGCACAGCCAGGCUGCUUGCCUGCCGGUCCAGCUCAGAGGGGUGACUUCUACCAUUCAGCAUUCCUGGUCCUGGGGCCCCAGGGUCUACCCUCGCUAUUUUGUAUCUCCCCACUGACUCUCUGAGCCUGGCAUUUUCCAGACUGCGGGCACUUGGUUACCACCAGCCACACGGCUUGCUGGUUUUUGCUUACUCCUGGUUAAUGGCAGUGGAAAAUAGCAAUCAUAGAACAACUAUAAAAGUAUCUUAUUACUCCAAAUUGAUUAAGAUGUGCAGGAUAGAUAUUUAAGUUUUCAAAAUAAAUUGGGAGAACACAGCUUUUUGUUAGAGAGAGGCAUCAUACUCCUCUGGCAACUGGAAUAAUUUGGUUAACUCUAAAAUUAAAAUGGCCACAAAAUCAUGCUGUACAAAGAAGUGUAAAAUAUCCAUUAAAACUAACUUUAGGUUGGAGGCCAGGCGCGGUGGCUCAUGCCUGUAAUCCCAGCCGAGACGGGCAGAUCACAAGGUUAGGAGAUCAAGACCAUCCUGGCUAACACGGUGAAACCCCGUCUCUACUAAAAAUACAAAAAAUUAGCCGGGUGUGGUAGUAGGCACCUGUAGUCCCAGUUACUCAGGAGGCUGAGGCAGGAGAAUGGCGUGAACCCAGGAGGUGGAGCUUGCAGUGAGCCUAGAUCGCGCCACUGCACUCCAGCCUUGGUGACAGAGCGACACUCCGUUUCACAAAAAAAAAAAAAAAAAAAAAAAGUCCGGGCACAGUGGCUCACGCCUGUAAUCCCAGCACUUUGGGAGGCCAAGGCGGGCGGAUCACGAGGUCAGGAGAUCGAGACCAUCCUGGUUAACACGGUGAAACCCCAUCUCUACUAAACAUACAAAAAAUUAGCUGGGCGUGGCGGCGGGCGCCUGUAGUCCCAGCUACUGGGGAGGCUGAGGCAGGAGAAUGGCGUGAACCUGAGAGGCGGAGCUUGCAGUGAGCCCAGAUGGUGCCACUGCACUCCAGCCUGGGUGACAGAGUGAGACUCCGUCUCAAAAAAAAAAAAAAAAAAAAAACUAACGUUAGGCAAAUUGAACCAAAUCAUGAACACCAAAAGCACUGCAUUUCAGGUGAGUAGAUUUGGGCCAAUACCAAAUCAUUACUUGUUGUUCAGUAAACAAAACCAAAGGUGAUUAACCAAUUAAUCAAUUUAAAAUAGCACCAAACUUUUCUAAAAUGGCCUAAACAGACAAAACUUUGACAGCACUUGUGUCUCAACCAAAGCUGAAUCCAUUCAUGUUACAUUUGGUUGAAGUCCCCCUCCCCUUAUCAUCACAUAAAGCCUGAAGCGCCCAUGGAAUUGCAUAUCCUUGGUCAUCUCCCUCUGCUUCUCUAGUCCUCUCUCCCCUUCCUAAGUCAUCAGCUCUCACCUUGAAGCCUGUGGGACACCAGUCUACAAACUGGAUGGUCCUCUUGGUCUUGAUGGCAGCAAUAGCGACAUUCACAUCCUUGGGCACCACGUCGCCCCGGUAGAGCAUGCAGCAGGCCAUGUACUUGCCAUGUCUCGGGUCGCACUUCACCAUCUGGCUGUUGGGCUCAAAGCAGGAGCUGGUGAUCUCGGCCACAGAGAGCUGUUCGUGAUAGGCUUUCUCGGCAGAGAUGAUGGGCGCGUAGGUGACCAGCGGGAAGUGGAUGCGGGGGUAGGGCACCAGGUUGGUCUGGAACUCAGUGAGGUCCACAUUGAGGGCCCCGUCAAAGCGGAGAGAAGCAGUGAUUGAGGACACAAUCUGACUGAUGAGGCGGUUGAGGUUGGUAUAGGUAGGGCGCUCGAUGUCAAGGUUCCUGCGGCAGAUGUCAUAGAUGGCUUCGUUGUCCACCAUGAAAGCACAAUCUGAAUGUUCCAGUGUGGUGUGGGUGGUCAGGAUGGAGUUGUAGGGCUCCACCACUGCAGUAGAGACCUGGGGGGCUGGGUAGAUGGCAAACUCCAGCUUGGAUUUCUUGCCAUAAUCCAGGGAGAGGCGUUCCAUCAGCAGAGAAGUGAAGCCGGAGCCAGUGCCCCCACCAAAACUGUGGAAAAUCAGGAAGCCCUGCAGGCCAGAGCAAGCAUCUGUCUGGGGAGAGCGGGACAUGAGAAGAAAUCAUGAAGACAAGUUUCCGAGAACACCCCACAGUAAAAAAGCCAGGCCGCCCACUCUGUCUGCCUCAUAUUUUUUUGUGGAUGAAAUCAAAACAGCUUUGAAGAAGUAAGGAAACAAAAGGAGUUGUAUUGAUCUUUGGAGGAGUGGCUAAAAUAUGGGAUGGGGCCAGGCACAGUGACUCAAUGCCUGUAAUCCCAGCAGUUUGGGAAGCUGAGGCAGGAGGAUCCAUUGAGGCCAGGAGUUCACAACCAGCAUGGGCAACAUAGUAAGACCUCGCAUCUACAAAAAAUUUUCAAAGUUAACUGGGCGUGGUGAUGCACACCUGUAGUCCCAGUUACUUGGGAUGCUGAAGUGGGAGGAUCACUUGAGCCCAGGAGCUCAUGGCUGCAGAAAUCUAUGAUCACACCACUGCACUCUGGCUUGGAUGACAGAGCAAGACUGUCUAUUUUUUUUAAUAGAAUGGCAAGCUGCAGGGGCACACGCCUCUAGGUACAUGAAGGUUUCAGCCCAGUAACUUGGUUGAACAGGGAAUGAGAGUUUCAGAACCACGGUGGAUGGUGACUUUGCCCUUUGAGGGCCCCAACUCCUUGCCCACUUUCCCUGCUCUUGUCAUUUGAUUUUGUGGGAACUGCUGCCGACACACUUCAACCCAACCUUGGAAGGUGACUCAGGGCACCAAUUUCAGAAAGGUACAUGGAGCCAGAAAGCCUGAGUUCUAAUAUCAACUUUGCCAUUUCUUGGUUGUAAGAACUUGAGCAAGUUACUGAACCUCUCCAAACUUCUGUUCCUUUUUUUUUUUUUUUUUGAGACAGAGUCUCGCUCUGUCGCCAGGCUGGAGUGCAGUGGUGCAAUCUUGGUUCACUGCAACCUCCGCCUUCUGGGUUCAAGCAAUUCUCCUGCCACAGCCUCCUGAGUAGCUGGGACUACAGGCGCAUGCUACCAUGCCCAGCUAAUUUUUUGUACUUUUAGUAAAGAUGGGGUUUUAACAUGUUGGCCAGGAUGAUCUCAAUCUCUUGACCCCGUGAUCCACCCCCCUCGGCCUCCCAAAGUGCUGGGAUUACAGGCAUGUGCCACCAUGCCUGGCCACUUCUGUUCCUUCUUAGUGAAAAUGGGGACAAUAGAAAAUCCUCAUAAGGUUAUUGUGACAAUUAAAUAAAAUAGCAUAACAUGCUGAGCAAGGGCCUGAUGCGUUGUAAGCACGGAUGUCAGCUCUUACCAGAGAAUUCAUAGAAUCACAGGAUUUUCCCACUGGGUGUGAUUUGAACUUUUGGGGACCACAGACAGCUUUGAGGCCAAUGACCCUGACAAGCCCUCCUCUAAACAGAAAAAGUGAAUAUAUGCAAAAGUUUGGCACCCUUACCUCCCAGGGAAAGAACAUGUGAUCAGGUCCAAGCUUUUCCAUUAUACAGAUAAGCAAAUGGAAGCUUAAAUAAAUAAAGUGACACAACCUACAACUCAAGAGCUUUGUAGUCCAACCGAGUUCAAACCCCAGCUCUGCCACUUUUUAGCUGUGUGACCCAGGCUAAGAUAUUGAACCACCCUGGCCCUCAAUUUCUUCAUCUGUAAAGCACAGGAAGGACACCUCCUAAGUAUAAUUAUUAAGGAUUAAAUGAAGGAAUGUGCUUAACAUCUGUAAUGGCAUUUGUAAGUGCCCAAAUGUGUCAACAAUCUCUUCCUCUCCCCUUCCAAGUUAAAUGCUUUGUUAACCUGUGUUUCCGACCAGCAGAGACCUCAUCCUGCCUUAUACCCGGAACCUUCCCCAGAUACUAACAGAGAGUAUCAAUGAGUAUGAGUAGGGCCUCAGCCUGGAACACAGUCUAUGAUGCUAACACAGAGGAAGGGGCAUCACCCCUGUGCAUGCUUCUUACAGAAUUUAAGCAGAAAUUCCCAAACCUUAGGAGCUCCAUCCUAUAGCCAGGGGUCAGAUGCCUCUCCCCAGCCUGAUCAAAGAGGCAUGGGGCCAAGCCUGUCCACUCCAGCCUGACCCACCCGUCCCCUGCCCUCCUGAUCUUACCAGCUUCCGUAUGCGGUCCAGCACCAGGUCAAUGCUCUCCUUGCCCACCGUGUAGUGGCCCCGGGCAUAGUUGUUGGCUGCAUCCUCCUUUCCUGUGAUCAGCUGCUCUGGAUGGAAGAGCUGGCGGUAGGUUCCUGCCCGAACCUCAUCUUCCAAGAGAGGAAGACCGUUAGGUCCUACUGCCCAGGGGAGAAGCCUCCCUCCCUACCACACUACCGCAGGACCCCUUCCGUUCUCCCCUACCUAUAAAACUCCAUGGAGGUUUGAAGCCAGACCACCUCGUAAUGAAUCUGCAAAAGGCUAAGAGAAUUCCCGGGUAGCUCAGGAACUAACAGAGCCAAGGCCUGUGGCUCAUGUGGGCGGUGAGAAGCAGGCUGCCCUGCUGGCUAGAACCCUAAAAAGACUUAGCUUUACAAAGCUCAUCGAACAUCGCCGGGCCCAGUGGCUCACGCCUGCAAUCCUAACACUUUGGGAGGCCGAGGCGGGCAGAUUGCCUGAGCUUAGGAGUUCAAGACCAGCCUGGGCAACACGGUGAAACCCCAUCUUACUAAAAUACAAAAAGUUAGCCAGGUGGGGCAGCGUGCGCCUGUAGUCCCAGCUACUCGGAGGCCUGAGGCAGGAGAAUCUCUUCAACCUGGGAGGCAGAGGCUGAGGUGAGCUGAGAUCUUGUCACUGCACUCCAGCCUGGGCAACAAGACAGAGCGAGGCUCCAUCUCCAAAAAAAAAACAACAGCAACAAAACUUGGGCCGGCUGGGUGCAGUGACUCACGCCUGUAAUCCCAGGAUUUUGGGAGGCCAAGGCGGGCAGAUCACGAGGUCAGGAGAUCGAGACCAUCUUGGCUAACACGGUGAAACCAUGUCUCUACUUAAAAUACAAAAAAAUUAGGCAGGCGUGGUGGCCGGCGCCUGUAGUCCCAGCUACUCGGGAGGCUGAGGCAGGAGAAUGGCUUGAACCCGGGAGGCGGAGCUUGCAGUGAGCCGAGAUUACGCCACUGCACUCCAGCCUGGGCGACGGAGCGAGACUCCGUCUCAAAAAAACAAACAAACAAAAAAACAAAAAAAAAGCUCAUCGAACACCAACGCCAAUUGCCUCUCCUCCCUUCCACCUUGACUCCUCCAGGUUUCCCUUUUGUUUUUUCUUUCAUGCUGCAAGGUGUACCAACAAUUUUUUUUUUUUUUUUUUUUUUUUUUUUUUUUUUUUUUUGGAGACGGGGUCUUGCUCUGUCGCCCAGGCUGGAGUGCAGUGGCGCGAUCUCGGCUCACUGCAAGCUCCGCCUCCCGGGUUCACGCCAUUCUCCUGCCUCAGCCUUCAGAGUAGCUGGGACUACAGGCGCCCGCCACCACGCCUGGCUAAUUUUUUGUAAUUUUAGUAGAGACGGGGUUUCACUGUGUUAGCCAGGAUGGUCUCGAUCUUCUGACCUCGUGAUCCACCCGCCUCGGCCUCCCAAAGUGCUGGGGUUACAGGUGUGAGCCACCGCGCCGGGCCAAGGUGUACCAACAAUUUAACUUAAGUCCUUUUGCAUUAAAAUAUUCUAGGGACAUGGAGAAAGAUUCAGGAUGAUCUGCCCAGAACCUAGACCCCCAAGAGUUGUCCCACCCCUCAACUCCACCUCAUGGUGGCAAUAAUAUAUGUCAGGCAUUAGACAUAUUUUAGAAUAAUGGGAAGCAAAGCUAUGUUCCAAGUCAUAGAGGAGCAAGAGCCCUAGAGAGGCCUUUAAGGGGUCUCUGCUCACUUCCAAGGGUCCACACAAAGCGGAUACAGAGCAGAUCAAGACACAUCAAGCCCCAACUAUGUCGCCUCUUCUCUUUGGGGUUCCUCUACUCCCUGCAGAAAAAUCAUCUGUGCAGUGGCCCAGGAGGUAACCUGCACUUUGUGCAUUGGUGCAAAGCAUCCAGGGGGUGGAGCAUCUGCCCUCUGUUGCCCUAGACAUUGGUGUCCAGGCAUAUACUUCGUGCCCAGUCCUCUUUGCAGAACUGUCCAUCUCUGGCUUGAGGAGCCAGGAUUGGAGCUGGGGAAAUCCUGAUGUUCAACUGAGAGUUGACCCAGGGGUCAGAAACAGGGGAAGUGGCACUACUGGGGGAUAGUGUGGGAAGGGGAGAUCUGCCUAGACACAAGGCAGAAUUCCUGUGUUUCCUAAACCUGAAUGAACCUCAUUCCAGAACUCCAGCGGCCCCUGGCUGUGAAGCAAUGUGCCUGCUGUGAUAGGCCCCUUUGUGUGUAAGAUGCUGUGAGGUUAUACCCACCCCGAGGGCAGACUCAGAAACCUAUACUUAGGGAAAUUGCUCACUUAGGGGUGUCUUAUAAUUUCUAAAAUUAUUUGGAUUUUCUUGUCCUUAGUAUUUAGUAGCGAUGUGACCAUUUUGACCUGGUGCCGCAGGUUUUGGGGGUUGAAGUGGGAGGCAUUUUGUUCUGCAUAGAGUCUUGAUCACUGUCAUGAGAUUCCCCGAGACUGUGGGGACCCCAAGGAGCUGACAGAUGUCACGUGGGGUGGGAGGCUGCGGUUGCACCAUCCCCACCUUCCAGCUAGAGACGCUGCUUCCUUAGCUACUGUGGGCCAAUGCCUCUGCAGUUUCAAGAUGUUCUCUGUGGAGGGGAACUCCGACCCCACUCACCCACUACAGUAGGCUCCAGAUCUAUCAUGACGGCCCGGGGCACAUGCUUCCCAUUGCCAGUCUCGCUGAAAAAGGUGGUGAAGGAGUCAUCAUCGUUGAUCUUGCUGGCUUGAGCAUCAAAAGUGCCGUCUGCCUGGAUGCCGUGUUCCAGGCAGAAGAGCUCCCAGCAGGCAUUGCCAAUCUGAACUCCCGCUUGGCCCACGUGGACUGAUAUGCAUUCCCGCUGUGGGGAGAGGGAAGCAUCGAGGUCAGAGAGUCUGGGCCCCCAGCAUGCCUUUGCCCUACAUCCCCAUAACAUUCACCUUGCAGGCCAGCCAGGCCCCAGCCCCCCAUUGCCAGUUGGCAUUGAGGCUACAGGUGCCCCAGCUCUAUAGCAGCUGGACCAGGACUUAGAUCCAAAGAAGACACAGCUGUUUUGUGCUUUGCUCUAAAGGUUGAUUCCCAGGGUUGACCUUUUAUACCAGGAAAGAAAAAAAGGAGGGUGGUUGCAAAGAUGAAGCAAGGGGCUAAUUCCAAACCACAAGAUUCCUGCACUGGUGAAGAAGGCCCAAGGAAGAACUGGCGAUCAUGGCAGAAACUCUCCUUCAGCCUACGCCCACACAAGGCAGCAUUCACAGCUGCUCCUGACCCUGACUUUCUGACAUUGUGCACACAUGCACACACACAGUCUCAGGAUAUCACAGAGCAAAUGAGCACUCAUGAAAGGAACAUGCUCUGGAAGUAUAUGCCAUGGCUGUCAGUAGUAUCAUGGUUACCAAUGUAGAAAUAAAGGAUUAUUUAUUAUCCCAAGAGAGGAUGGGGAGGGUAUAAAUUAGGCCCUUCCUGCACGCUGAACAAUUGGAAAAUCUUUGCAGCCCCAUAGCCUGCCCGCCCCUUGCCUAUGCCAGGCCAAGUGUUAAGUAAAGCUGACCCUGGAGUGUCCUUAGCUCUGUGUUACUCUGAUGUGAAGCCACAAUUGCCUGAUUGGUAUUCGUACUAACAGCUUAAGAUGGGGAGUGCACUGAUGGGAAUGUAAAUUGGUUCAGCCACUGUGGAAAGCAGUUUGGAGAUUUCUCAAAGAACUCAGAACUACCAUUUCACUCAGCAAUCCUGUUACUGGGUAUAUAUCCAAAAGAAAAUCAUCCUACCAAAAAGACACCUGCACUCACACGUUCAUCACAGCACUAUUCACAACAGCAAAGACACGGAAUCAACCAGGUGCCCAGCAAUGGUAGACUGGAUACAGAAAAUGUCAUUCAUAUACACCAUGGAAUACUACGCAGCCCCCAAAAAAGAAUGAACCCAUAUCCUUUGCAGCAACAUGGAUGCAGCUGGAGGUCAUUAUCCUAAGCAAAUUAAUGCAGGAAUAGAAAACCAAAUACCACAUGUUCUUAUAAGUGGGAGCUAAACAUGGGUACUCAUGGACAGAAAAAUGGCAACAGUAGACACUGGGCACUACUGGAGCGGGGAGGGAAGAAGGGGGCAAAGAUUGGAAAACUAACUAUUGGGUACUAUGCUCAUUACCUGGGUGACAGGAUUAAUCAUACCCCAAACCUUGGCAUCACAAUAUAUACCCAUGUAAGAAAUCUGCAUAUGUACUCCCUGAAUCUAAAAUAAAAGUUGAAAUUAUUAAAGAAAAAGGGGGGUGGGGAGAGAGACAGUGUGUGUGUGUGUGUGUGCGCGCGUGCACACGUAGGCGUGAUAGACUCAUCCUCCCACCCACACCCUGCCCUGGGGAAGCAGUGGCCCACACAAGGCGACACUGCCUGGGGCAGCCGCCUGAGCCCAGCAGGAAGCAUGUGCCAGGUCUGUGGGUUUCUAUUUUUACCCAUGACCUGCCCUGGCAUUUUCCAGCUCCGGGUAACCCAAGCCAGGGGCAGAGCCUCCAGAGGGCACGGCUGGGCACAGAAGCCAGUAGAGUCCACGUCAAAGUGUGGGGCUCCUGGAGACGUGGAAGAAUUUCUGGGCAUGGAGAGCAGGGCAGCUGCCCUGAGUAGCAUCUUGCAGGGUCAGAGCAUCAGGACCAUUGCCCCCUAGUUCAAUUUUACAACUGUGCCCCCACUCUAGUCCUGUCUCUGUGCUGCAGCUGAGCGACACCUGGUCCUUGCCUUGAGGGAGGAUGAGCACAGGGGUGAGCGUGGGGCAGCCCGACGGGGGUCGCAACCCGCUGGAUCUCCGUGAGCCUGGUGGCUAGGGAGGGGAUUCACCCACAGAGCUGCCCACGCCCCCAGGUUCCCACGUUGCCUUCUCAAUUUACUUGCUGUGCUGUGUGGCCUGGGCUGAGUUACUGAACCUCUCCUCAUCUGAAAAGUGUAAGUUAGCCACAGUUGUUGAUGCUGUCUUGCCAUUAUCAUUUUCAUUACGGUACUACCUGGUAGCAUUUUUCUGCACCGGGAAGUAGCACACGUAGAGGGAGCUCUCAGGUCCCUGCUCCUCUCUCCUUUAUUGUGGGGUCUAUUCUCUGCCUCCAUCUGAGGGCUCAAUUCAGGCCUAAGGAAAGCAGCAUCUGCAUCCAGAAACCACCCACAACCAGCGAGUUAUCCACCCAGACCACGGCGUCACAUUCAGCAUGUGGCUGUGACUUCCCAGGGAGGUGUGGAAGCUGAGGGGACACUGGAGAGGCCGGAGGGGGGCCUGAUCCUAUAUAUUUUCCUUCUAAGUGACAGUAUCCUCUGUGGUCCUAACCCUCAGCCUUCUGGGUCUGUCGCCCCCUUACCACCACCGCAUCCCGACCACCCUCUAGUCCUGCCUACAGUGCUGCCCGGCCCCCAGCCUGCUCUCACUUCUGGAACAUUCUGGGGCUUUCCAGGGAGGACGCAGGGAUAUUUUAGGAAAAUCGAAGAUCAUGGGAGGAAGAGUCAAGGAUUUGGGGGACCUGAAAACCACUAGCAUGGUGACAACGUCUUUAGCCUCUUUUAAUGCCCUCAUUAAUCUCACACUAAUACAUAUGCCAGUCUUUUACAAAAUGUCUGUCUCUUUCUCUCUCCCCUGCCCCCGUCGUGCAAACACACACACACACACACACACACACACACCUUAGAAAGAGCUAUUUUUCCUAUUGAACUAGCUCGUAAGAAUAAUCGGAGGCAUAAAAUAGACUCAGAAAUGACUGACAGAUUCAUAGGUGCUCCCAAAAGUGAAAAGUAGCUACACCAAUCAAGAUAGAAGGAAGAUCCCUGCUAACAGGAACCGGGCUCCUUGGAGAGAUGGAGGCGUCCAGGUCCAGGGUGGGGAGUGUGCUAGAUGAGCCUGGAAUGUCGCAUAGCGCCUGGAGGCACGGAGGCUAACCAAGGGGCUGCCCAAGCACUGGAAGAGGCUCCCGCUGCCUAAGAUGAGACAACCUGAGCCUCACAAGUACUGAUGGCAGCAUUUGAGUGAAGCAGGAUGCAAGAUGAAAACCCACAAGUCCUCAAAGAAAACCCCCAGAGAAAAACUCAUUUGUCCCUAUCCAGACAGCCCCGUUAGUUAGAGAAGGCUCUUUUUUCUUUAAUUGAAGAAUGUCUGCUAAGCAAUGUGGACCGAAUAAUAGAUUAUCAAAUAUUGCCCUAUUCCAUCUUCUAAUUACGUGAUUGAUUUGGACAAGAACGCCAACACCAUUAGGUGAAAGACUGAUGGGGAACUCGAUCUUCGCCGAGAGCCAAAGAACCACUGUUAUAGUCACAAGGGGGGACGUAACUACCAGGGUCGCCAGCCUAAGGUUGCGAUCAAUCUCAGCAUCGCUAACUGUGGGCCAACCCGACAUCGAGGACCUCCUGAUGGGACGCAAUGUGACACACACACCACCAGUGAGGACUUCUUCUCAAAAAUACUCAGCCUUCAUCACUGAGCCCGGUAGAUUCAGCUUCCACUUCACAGGAAACACAGGGAUCAGAGGGUUAAUUAAGUUCAGUGAUAUCAGAGAAAACAAAAUCAAUCCAGAAGGUGAGACAUCCUACAGGGCAGCUGGUCCAGCCUUUUUUUUUUUUUUAAUUUUUUAAAUUUACUUUCUUUUUUAUUUUUUUUUUUUGAGACGGAGUCUCGCUCUGUCGCCCAGACUGGAGUGCAGUGGUGCGAUCUCGGCUCACUGCAAGCUCCGCCUGCCAGGUUCACACCAUUGUCCUGCCUCAGCCUCCCAGGUAGCUGGGACUACGGGCGCCCGCCACCACACCCGGCUAAUUUUUUGUAUUCUUUUAGUACAGACAGGGUUUCACCAUGUUAGCCAGGAUGGUCUCGAUCUCCUGACCUCGUGAUCCACCUGCCUCAGCCUCCCAAAGUGCAGGGAUUACAGGCGUGAGCCACCGGGCCUGGCCCAGCCUUUUCAACUCAUGAGAAAUGAAGAGCUGGGGGGGGCUGUCCCAUGUCAAAGGAACUAAGGCACCACCAAGCACCACCACAUGCAUCAUGGGGACUCUGACUGAAUUCUUGUUUGAACAAAUCAAAAUAUUUGGGGGACAAAUAAACUGAUUUGCUUUGUUCAGCGUAUUCAUAAAAAUGUGGUUAAGUAUGAAAACAUCCUUAUUUUUUAGUUGCAUCCGAAGCAUUUAGAGGUAAAAUGUCAUGACGUCUGUACUUUAAAAUCCUUCCCAAACACAGCAGAUAACAGAUGGAAAAAUCAUUCUUCUUCUUAAAUCUAGAUAAUAGGUAUAUGGGUGGCAUAUCACUCUACUUUUCUGAAGGUUUAAAAUUUUUCAUAGUAAAAAGCAAAAAUCAUAAUAAAGAAGACAGAGAAAGAAUAGGAGCACGGACUGCCCUCUCCAGAACCCACUUAUCCUGGGCCAUUGCACGCAGUCACUUACUCAAAUAAUAAUUGACUACGCGCCUACAUUGUUAGGGCUUUGAAGUUCCAUGAAGAAAUCACAAGUGAAAUUCAAAGCUGCAUGAGGCUUCAUGGCACUGUGAGGUCCGUGCCCAGCCCCAGCACUCUGCAGGCCUCUUGCACCUGCUCCUAGCAGGGAGGAGGAGCAACCCACAGCUCCCGCAUCGAGCUCCCGGCUCAGGCACUGAGCUCGACUCCUGCAGCCGUGCUGCCCCAUUACCCUCCCCAGCCUUCGGCCUGGAAGUUCCACAGAGCAGACCCAGUGCUGAAGCCCGUGGGACGCAUCCUCACGUCUAAGAAAAGGCAUCCUUCUAUCAUAACCAGGGAUGUUAUAUCGGCUCCGAACAUUUAGGAUACCAGAGCUGGGCCAGCCUCAUGGAUCACCUAAUAUGAUUCCCUCUCCAUUAUUUUACAGAUGAAACUGCUGAGCUCAGAGACGAAAAGGGACAAAUUCAACAUGUCACAGCACUGCAGCAGCAAAAGAGCCUGGACCAGAAUCCAGGGCUUCUGACCUGGGCCUGACUUCUUUCUUUUAGGCCACAUGGCCUCCUGCCUCACUUGCAGCUCUGAACUCCCAGGGCCCUGGGGUGUGCCCACAUCUGCGCCAAUGCAAGACCAAGUUCGGAUAGCAGAACUCCAAACAGGAAAUGUCUCUUGUGCAGAGCGAAAUGGCGAAUGGCUCAUGGGGCAGCCUCUUUGAAAAUGGGUCAUCUUUCUCUGACAGAACCAGGAGUCUGCUUCUCAGGGCCCAUGUGUGCAGCUGGGGUUGGGGGCAAGGGGAAACUGACCCAGCAGAGGAUAUUUAAGUCAUGUGCCCGCUCCAAACUCAUAUUUCAGAUUCCCCUGUCUAGCCAAUCAGAGCACAUGCCUGUCACUCACACUGCUCCUCUCUCUCUCAGUUCUAUUUUCAAUCUGGGCUUGUAGAGCUCAGACAAGUUCUGUCCUCCUUGGUCCCUGUGAGGGGAGGGGGUCCCUUGUUUGCUGCAGAAGCCUGUCCCACCCAACUUCUUCUGGGGGGUGAAGAGGAGGGAGGUGGAGGGACCAAGGAGGUCCAUUCCUCGUGAAAAGCAUGCCACUUCUCACACAGACCUCACGCUGGGAUAGCUACAAAAGGCACCUACUCAUUUCUACAGCAAAUCUUUUUGUGUGGUUGCAUUGGAAACAGCAUUGUGAGGUACUGGGCUAACUUUCAUUCAUCCUUCAGGUAUCCAGUUAAUUGUCACUUCGUAAGGAAAGUCUGCAAAACCCCAAGCCAGCAUAGGGCCCUGCCAUGUGCUCCCCCAUCCCCUUCAUUCCUGUCAUUGUAAUCAUCACACCGUAUUAUAGCUGCCUGUUCAUUUUCGCACCUUUCUAGUAGAGAACGUAAGCUCUGUGAGGGCAAGGAACCUUUGUUUCACUCAAGGAAUCCCCAGUACCGAGCCCGGUGCUUGAAUGUAGCAGGUGCUCAAUUAACACAGGGAGGACUGGAAUGAAAACCUUCCCUGAGGGGCUGCAGUCCAUCCAACAAGGACAGCGGCCAGGGCCUAAGAAGUGUACGGGUCAAGUGCAGAGGGAGUUCCAAGGAGAAGGAGACAUCUUCUAGCUUAGUUUCCUAAAGGAGGAAUAUUCGCAGGGACCCUGAAGAAGGCAGCCGGCCAAGAUGAUCUGGGGCAGUUCAGGUGGAUGCAGGAGCAGUGUGAACAAGAGGCAGUAAAACGCAGGGUGGUUCCCGCACACUGCCCAGUCUGUCCGGAGCGCAGGCUGAGGAAGGGCAGGGCCAAUGAGACAUCUGGGCCACCUGUGAACACUCCGCCUGGGGAGCCACUGCCCUGUGAGCCAAGGCCCCUCGCUGGGAGGCAUGAAUCCAGUGCCUGUGUUUUGCAGAGCAUCAAUAAAAGAAAUUCUAGAACUUUGCAGCCCUUUUAUAAUUUUGCUGCAAGAAGCCCUUUUUUUUUACAUCAAUCUUAUAUUCUAAUAGUAGUCAUUUCCUUUAGCUUUGUUCUCAGAGGACUAAGAUAAGCUAAUCACCAUCCUUGGCAAAAGGAGACUUUGAAGCCUUAAAAAGGCUGUCUUGUGAUACUAUUUCCAAGUAUCACAAGACAGUAAAAGUGGCAUAUCAUCUGGGAGAGGGGCCGACGUGGGCCACAGUGUGUGCCCUGUGAAAGCCUGGCACCACCCACACUCCCUGACCACCUGUGCUCUCAUGCCCCAGUUGCUGUCAGGAAGCAUGUGAUUACACCGAAUUAUCUCUAGUUGUCAGGCUGGGAUAAUAGAUCACAUAUAUUUUAGGACCUAGGUCAGGGAUGGCAAGUGAAAAGCAGGCCCACAGUGUCACAGAGGGGUAAUGAAAGUAAGGACAGAUGUGGCUCCUGAAGGGCUGCUGAAUUGUCUCUGCUCAGAACUCUUCGAUCAUAGGGCAUAUUUGAAAUCACUCAUAACAAAGAAUAGAUAGCAAGCCAGACACAGCAAAAACAAAGUCGGCCUAAAUUCACUUUAGCGAGUGAAGGUGGCUCGCGAGAGGGGCUCAGAUGAUAGGCACAGCAGUUAGGGCAGCAACAGAGCUCACAGGAGGCCAGCUCUGGCCAUGAGGCCAUCUGCUAAGGAGACUUCCAGCAUAAGAGGCCGGAGGGCGUUGAAGGCCUGGGCUGUGGCUGGCACUGGGGCAGGUGCAAGAGACACUUAGGAGUUUCAAUCCAAUGCACACAGUGCCUGCUCCAUCUCCUGCUCUCUUCUGCAGCUUAUUAUCUGAGAGAACUCCUAACAGGAAGACACUGCAGGGGAAACGCCAACCACAAAGGCCACAGAUAGUGCUGUCCAUCCCUUGCGGCCUGAGGGAAAAGGAGCAUUUGGUCUGCUUCCUCCCCCCGACAGUGCCACAUCCUCCUGCCCACCCCCAUCACUGGCCUGCUAUCCACCAGCUACUUCCCCCUCCAAAAUUAUUUUUAACUUUCAUCUCCCUUUGAAGGUCACUAGGAGAAAGCACAUUCAACAGUGGCAUUAACCCCCACCCCAAGCUCUGUAUGGGCCUGACCCAAGGCUGGGGGCUCCCAAUGGACUCACCAAUCCAGCAGCUCUGCCCCAGCCGCUGCCCUGUGAGCCAAGGCCCCUCACUUGGAGGCAUGCGCCCAGUGCCUCUGGGGAAACCUGCCUUUUGUGAUGGGAGGGGAGGAGGAGGCAGCAGUGACCUGCAGCCCCUGGGAGCCCACACAGUGCUCUGAGGUCAGAAUACACCUAUCAACUCCACAGAGCUCGGCCAUGCCUGUCUACAUGGGGAGAUUGCAGAAGGCUGCAGGCAGAAGGAUGUCCAUUUGGCCCCCAGAACCCUCUAACUGCCCAUUUUUGCAGGGAGACGGGCUCCUUCGUGCUCUCAAGUCCUAACGGAAUGGAGUUAAAGAAGCCGUGUUGCAGAUGUUCCCACCUCCCCAUAAACCACAGAAAACUUCUCUGUGCCCUGGUAUCAUUGGCAUGGGCUUGGCUUAGGGCACCUGGCCAGGAUUCUCCAUACCACUUCCCAAAAAAGGUGUCAUAGUCUGAGUUCCCAGAGAGCUGCGUGCUAGAGCACUGGGAGUGGAUGGGAAUGGUCUGCUGUGGGAGUAGCCUGCCGGUCCCAGCACGGGCAGGUGGCUCAGGACAGAGGCUCUGGUGCCCAGCAGAUGUAAACUCCAGCCCCUACGCAGCUUCUUACCAGCUGUGUCACUUUAGGCUCCAGGACAGAAAUGCUAAAGGGUAUUGGUGGUACCGUGCAGUGGGUAGCUGGGGAGAAGGGGUUGGGGGUAAGUUCACAGAGGAAAAAUGCUCAUCUGCCUAGCAGCUAGAGAAAUGCAUUUAAAAAUACACUUAAGGAUUAGUUACACUUUUCUUGCCCAGAACCUACAGAAAUUCCAAAUCGAAUUCUCCUUAGCACCAAGGUCACCUCCCCCAAACCCCCACCAGGGAGGGAAGUGAAGGGGACAGGACAGCAGCCUGAAACUUAAUCCUUAGAAGAAAUACAGUCAUUUUUGUAAGGGUGAGAUUCUAGGGGUUUAGGUUUAUAGAUGUGUCAUUUUAGCCUUUUACAAAUGAGCCAAAUGAUAUUUUAGAAGUUUCUGUGAGUGUAAAAUGUUCAACAAAAAAUAUUAGCCAUCAAGACAGUGCAACGCACACAAGUUAAAUGUUCUAGAUAGAACCUACUAGACAAAAUUGAGUGUUUCAAAAUAAAUGAAAGGUGGUCCCGUUUCAAAAUAUUUAACCAUAGGUUUUCAGCUAAACACCCAAAUUCUUAAGCACAUUCAAAAUAAAGUUUUGCUGUUUGAAUUGUUGAUUUACCAGGCAUUGUCAGAAACACGUCUGUGGAUCACACAUUCAAGCUUGUGCACAGGGCUGGGUUAAGAUCCUCAACACGCCCCUGUGAACAUCCUCUGGGCUCCACUCUGUACCACAAUGGCAUUCAGAUCCAAAUUAAAGCAUGCAAGGGAAGCACUUGGAAAAUCCUAAAACACUAGCUACCUGCUAGAUAUAUAAAUAUUAAAUAUCAAUUCUACAGUAUGCAGCCUAGCAUUUGCUUCAAAAUUAUGGAGGGAGGGAAUAAAUGAAGUGAGACAGGUCAGAAGUUGGUAAUUAUUGAACUUAGGUGAUGUAUAUAAUCGCUAAUUAUACCAUUUGCUCUCCGUUUGCAUAUGUUUGAAAUUCCCUACCAUAAAAAGUUUAAAAAUAAUGAAAUCUAAGUGGAGUCUUGGAAAUUUGAAUUAUAACCCUCUUCAUUUCGCAGGUAAAACAAACCCAUCCAGAGAGGUUAAGUGACCUUCCUGAAGUCACACAGCUAGCUGCAGAGCCAGGAGUCAAAAUUCUGAACUCGCAGCUCUGGGCCCCUUGUGUGGCCUCAUACCAGGGUCCUCAGGCAGAAAUAGGUUCCUGUGGCCACCCUCCCUAAUAUUCCCAAGUUCUUUCAGUUCCCAGGGGUGUCUGGGAGCCCGCUAGGAGGAGGGAGGGUGCUGACAAAACUGAAGCUGUAAGGCUAGAGCUCCGGGGGAGCCAGGAGGCCCUGGGCACGGGCCAAACGUAACAGGGCGGGGCGGAGGGGGUUCUCGCCUGCUUUCUGGAUCACUGACACCUGGAGCAAGCCUGCCCAGGGAACCCGACCUUGGCCAUGACAUAGGCUUAUUCUGCCCUCACUCUGCCCCCAAUCUUUCCAGCCCAUCUCCCUACUGCUGAAAGAUCAGGGGUCCAGGAGGGAUUCCUGGGAUUCCGGGCUUUGGGAAAGUGGACUGGGGGCAAAUGUUAGCCACCAGGGGCACUGGGGGCGGAGAGGGGGACCCUAGAGAGAGGAACUGAGUGUUUGCAGCCGCCCCUCAGUAAGAUCCAGGGGCGGGGGCAGGGAAGGGAGCAGCCGCGAUCCCCCUAAGCCAGGGUAGGAAACAGGUCGAAGGUCCCCUGGCCUUUGGAAGCAGAGACUUCUUACUCCCAAAGUCCUUCGACUCUGACCGCUGGAAAGACUUGGGAGCUGAGUGCGCCCGGAGGACCCCGCCGCGCUGGGGCUGUGCGUGCAGCAAACCCAAGCCGCUGGCCAGGGUUGCGAGAAAGACCUCCACGCGUGGGGGGACCGUGGCGCCCUAGGUCCUCUGUCACAUUCCGGGCCCUGUCACAUUAGGCUGGGUUUGGAGACGUGACUGCAUCUGGCCCCCCAGUCGCCCCGGCCCAGACCACCCAUCCAGAAUCCCCGGACUCGCCCUUCUCUCCACUCUGUCCACAGGCUGCCCAUCUGGGGACCCCAGAAUCUCGCCCCCUUCUCCGUCGGGCUCCCCAGGGCCUCCCUCCCCCUCGUCUGCACGCAAAGCUCCCUUAGGUCCCUUUAAGGAACAACUGGCCCCUGGUCUCUAUUUCUCCCAUACGAUAAAGGGCACCGGGUGUUCCCGCCCGAGGGUGCGGACUCCUCGACCCCGAACUGCCACCCCCAGAAGGCCUUGAGCCCUGCGGCUCCAGGAGGACGGGUCCGUGCGCCUCCCUGUAGACUGGGCUCUCGGUCCUACGCCUGCCGCGCGCCCGCAGCCCGCCUGGCCCCGGGAAGCCUCACCAUCGCUGCCGCUGUCCUCGCCCGCGCACCUCUCAGCUGGGCCUGCCCGCCCCGACUGCUCCAGAUACAGCCGCCUCCGCCGUUGUGACACACCGGGAGGAGGGGACGCC